rnacentral:rRNA from 1 species
AUUGAACGCUGGCGGCAUGCUUUACACAUGCAAGUCGAACGGUAACAGGGAGCUUGCUCCGCUGACGAGUGGCGAACGGGUGAGUAAUGCAUCGGAACAUGCCCAGUCAUGGGGGAUAACUACGCGAAAGCGUAGCUAAUACCGCAUACGCCCUGAGGGGGAAAGUGGGGGAUCUUAGGACCUCACGUGAUUGGAGUGGCCGAUGUCAGAUUAGCUAGUUGGUGAGGUAAAGGCUCACCAAGGCGACGAUCUGUAGCGGGUCUGAGAGGAUGAUCCGCCACACUGGGACUGAGACACGGCCCAGACUCCUACGGGAGGCAGCAGUGGGGAAUUUUGGACAAUGGGCGCAAGCCUGAUCCAGCCAUGCCGCGUGAGUGAAGAAGGCCUCGG